rnacentral:rRNA from 1 species
AUUGAACGCUGGCGGCAGGCCUAACACAUGCAAGUCGAGCGAGCGGCGGACGGGUGAGUAAUGUAUGGGGCUCUGCCCGAUAGAGGCGGAUCACUCCUGGAAACUGUGGCUAAUUCCGCCUACUAUAGGAUGAACCCAUUUGGGAUUAGCUAGUAGGUGGGGUAAAGGCGCACCUAGGCGACGAUCUCUAGCUGGUCUGAGAGCAUGAUCAGCCACACUGGGACUGAGACACGGCCCAGACUCCUACGGGAGGCAGGAGUGGGGAAUAUUGGACAAUGGGCGAAAGCCUGAUGCAGCCAUGCCGCGUGGAGGAAGAAGGCCUUAGGGUUGUAAAGUACUGGAAGUGGGGAGGCGUUACCAGCAGAAGAAGCACCGGCUAACUCCGUGCCAGCAGCCGCGGUAAUUC